AACGCGAAGAACCUUACCUGGGUUUGACAUGCACCAGACAUCCCUAGAGAUAGGGCUUCCCUUGUGGUUGGUGUGCAGGUGGUGCAUGGUCGUCGUCAGCUCGUGUCGUGAGAUGUUGGGUUAAGUCCCGCAACGAGCGCAACCCUUGUUCCAUGUUGCCAGCGGGUAAUGCCGGGGACUCAUGGGAGACUGCCGGGGUCAACUCGAAGGAAGGUGGGGAUGACGUCAAAUCAUCAUGCCCCUUAUGUCCAGGGCUUCACACAUGCUACAAUGGCCAGUACAGAGGGCUGCGAGACCGUGAGGUGGAGCGAAUCUCUUAAAGCUGGUCUCAGUUCGGAUUGGGGUCUGCAACUCGACCCCAUGAAGUUGGGAGUCGCUAGUAAUCGCAGAUCAGCAACGCUGCGGUGAAUACGUUCCCGGGCCUUGUACACACCG
rnacentral:rRNA from 1 species